AUGCUUAGGAAGAUGUUUCAAGGUGGUUCCUCUAAGAAGCAAGGACCCAGGAUUGCUAUGCGCGAUGCUGACGAGGAUCCACCAAGAGACGCCCCAGUACGGCCUUGCGAAUGGCCGUCGGAAAAUUUUAUGGACCGUGCGGGAAUUAAAGAAGAGUUCAAAGCAUAUUUGCGCAACGCCGGUCUUGAGGAUUUUGAGGCUAACAAAUGCCCCCAGUAUCAUGAUCUCACAAGUUCAUUUGUGAGGAGGUUUGAGUAUUCAUCUUCGCGUAAUUCUCCUUCAGUCAUGUUUGAUCUCUAUGACAAAUCUUAUACCAUGGACUUAGAGGAUUUCACUUCUGCUUGCAAACUUCUAUCAUGGGGUAGUGUUAGGGAUCCCCCUAAAUCUGAAUUUAGAAACUUUCUUGCUAGUAUAACUGUAGGGGAAUCUAGAGAUAUAACGCAGGCUACCAUAGGGAGCAUUCACUUUCCUGCUAUACAUUAUUUUGCUCUCUUCAUCGGUAGAUGCAUAAAUGCUAAGGAUGAAGCAUGUCACAUGUGUGUCCCUGACCUUAGCUUUCUUAGGAGUGCUGUGUUAGGAGACCAAUCUUAUCAUAUGGGAGCCAUUGUAGCUCGUAGGUUGCAUCAUAAUAGACAUAAUGGAGAUUUCUUUGGAGGAAUUUAUGCAAUCCGCUUAGCUCAUUUUCUUGAGAUAGACAUUCGUGAGGGUGAUACAGAGUUGCCCACUGCAUAUUUAGAUUAUGACUCCAUGGUUUCACAUCAUUUUGUCGAGAGGCCUAAAUCACCUCUUUUAUAUCGUUUAAUUUUUAACAAACAGCAUGUUGUUCGUAUUACUCUCCCUGCUCCUUCUCUUUUUGAUUCACAGACAAAAGGAAGAUAUACUAUUACUAGAGAGGAGGCAGAUGAGUACGAGAGGAGAGCGGAGGCAACCCGACUCCACGCUGCAGCUCAGCAGGCGAUAGCUGUUGUAUCGCAGUACGACCCCAGCUACACCUACGGGUAUCCGCUAGGCUAUUCCUGGCAAUAG
rnacentral:rRNA from 1 species